rnacentral:rRNA from 1 species
GACGAACGCUGGCGGCGUGCUUAACACAUGCAAGUCGAACGGAAAGGCCCUGCUUUUGCGGGGUGCUCGAGUGGCGAACGGGUGAGUAACACGUGAGUAACCUGCCCUUGACUUUGGGAUAACUUCAGGAAACUGGGGCUAAUACAGGAUAGGAGCUCCUGCUGCAUGGUGGGGGUUGGAAAGUUUCGGCGGUUGGGGAUGGACUCGCGGCUUAUCAGCUUGUUGGUGGGGUAGUGGCUUACCAAGGCUUUGACGGGUAGCCGGCCUGAGAGGGGGACCGGCCACAUGGGGACUGAGAUACGGCCCAGACUCCUACGGGAGGCAGCAGUGGGGAAUAUGACACAAUGGGCGGAAGCCUGAUGCAGCAACGCCGCGUGCGGGAUGACGGCCUUCGGGUUGUAAACCGCUUUCGCCUGUGACGAAGCGUGAGUGACGGUAAUGGGUAAAGAAGCACCGGCUAACUACGUG